GUUUUCGUGGCCUAGUGGUUAGGGCGUCUGUCUUACAUUAUUCUCAUGUUCACAGAAGAUCCCCGGUUCAAUCCCGGGCGGAAACA